rnacentral:lncRNA from 1 species
CGCGGUCUUUCCGAGCGGCGCUGCCCGUGCCGAGAAUCUCCCUCGGUCAGAAAGCCGCUCCCAGUGCGUUCGCGUGAACGCUGCGGAGGCGGGAGCCCGAGCUGAGGUGGAAGUCCGAGCUGGCGUUCCUGUCAGAGCGGGGACGUUUGGCGGGAACGUCGCGGAGCGGGGCUGUGGGCCGGCAGGUGUCUGCUCGGCUGCGGGACGGAGCAAGCAGAAGUCCGGGCUGAGCACGCGUUGUGCGUUCUCGCCGCCGAGCCGCUGCUUUCCCCCCGUCAACCAGGAGGCGGCAGGCAGCACCUGGCAGAAGGAGUAGCGCUGUGGUAAUUUACCCAAAACGAAGACUGUCCUGUGGCUCUCUCUGAUAAUCCGGCGCUUGUGGGGUGACUGAAAGUAUAAGCGUGAUGGCAGAUUUUCCGUGCGACCCGUAAACUGGAAUGAGUCCAAAGGAUACCACGAGUGCUGCUGCCUGAGGAGCGGCACUGCGCAGUGCAUCCUUCUCCUCAGUUUCAGGAGAGCAAAAGGAUCAGAUGGCUG